AUUAUACUGUUGGUCUCCAUCAGCUGUAUGUGACUGUAUGUGUUUGACACAAUGAUGAAUGUUUUUCUGAUUUAUUUCCAGCCAUUUCUCUGCAGGUUUCACUCCACUCAAAUGGCUCAAUCCGACACUCUGCAGCUCUGUACUGAACUGGACAGUACUGCCCCUUGUCAUACCCGAUCUGACACUCAUGAGUGUGUGCACCCACAUGACGCGAGACACUCCGGCACAUGACAUAUUCGGCUUUAAAAUGACGUCACGGCAGCGUGUUUCUCAGCAGGCAGGUCGUUCGUCAGUCUGAGAGAAGAGGAGCAGCAGGAGACGGACCAGCCUCCUUCUCCCCCUCUGAUGACAAGCUCUCAUUCCCCCUCUGUCCAACUCCUCUGAAACAACUCUAAACCUCCAGGAUUCUCAUCCGUCGCUCCCCCUCUUUCUUUUUUCAGUUGCACCUAUUCUUUUUUAUUAUUAUUAUUUUUGCACUUUGUCUAACCCCUUCUCCCCAAACCCCAAACACCUCCAGAGAUGUGAAUAGAUAAUGAGGACCCCCUGCCAGCGGUGACUUGUCUCCUCCGUGCUUCAGAGAACCGAACAUCCUCAUCUUCCACCCCCCAGUUUUUUUUUUUGUUUUUUUUUGGACGCUCAUCUGCCUCUUUCAACAAUGUAGGAGAAGCUACGCUGUCAUUUCAGCGACGAGGAUGCCAACUACAUGCCUUUGUUUUUGCUCUCCGCAGCUUACAUCUUUGUCUCUCCGUCUCUGGGGGUGGGGGGAAUGAAAGAUUUUGCGUGAAGGCAAAGUUUGAAGGUACCUCUUCUGGUUUCCCGCUCACCUGUCCGCCUUGCACGCGGACUUUAACUGAUAACGAGGAAGAUUAUCGCCAGAAGAACAUUUGACGAGCAACUUAAAAGACACCUGACUAUUUGUUCUGUUUUUUUUGUUUUUUUUUUUGUUAGUGGGAUUUGACUGCGCUGUUGGAGGAAUUUCAUGUGCGCAACGUUGGAGGAUAUGGCUUAAAAAUAAUGGUUGCGUUACUGACAGCUGGAGUAAGGUCCGUCACUUGAGUGUUUUUUUUUUUUAUCAGCUACUGUCGACUUUGGUGGAAACCCAUCUAAAUGGGAGGAUACCUGGAGGACUGAGUCGGAUUCGGCAGAAGAGAAAAAAUGUGGAUAAAACGGAGUGUUGCGCGCAGUCCGUCUGCUUUGAGGCCAGGCAGCUGUGUGGGGCACCGGUUGUGGAUCCUGCUGGCCAUGACCCACCUCACCCUGGACUUCUCUGUGUGCAGCCCCCUCAGUCAGAGUCUGGGUAUCAAACUCACGCCUAAAUCGGUGCCUCACUCACAACCUCGCUGGCAGCCAGUCUGGGACACGCCCAACAAGCUUCACUGGAGAACAGUAAGUCCGCUGGCCCGCCGGCUUCUAAACCCUAUCCCUCCACCCCAGGACAACAGAGCUGGGAUAGACUCAAAAGUCAAGGGUCACCAGCAUCGGAAGCCAGUGCAUAAAGGACAAGCAGCGUGUAAGGAGUGCCAGCUAAAAUACUCUCAAAAGGAGACAGGUGAUACUUUGGCUGUAAUAGCUGAAGCUCCAGCAGCUUUAUCCAGUGGGAGCAGAGGAGACACAGUGAGGUUGUUACUUAGAGCCAGGAGACAGCUCAAAUGGGACAGCUAUGACAAAUCCCAGGAGGGCCGGACUACGACAGUGGCCGGAUUUAUCGACUGGGGACCCACAGGGACAGAUAGCAUAGAUGAUGAUGGCAAACCAGAGCCCAACAUAACACUGUCCACCAGGGUCUCAACUACCACAGUGGCCACAACCACUAGCACUACAACCAGGCUCUCCCAAAGGACGUUCACUGUGGUGACCACACCAGAGCCCAAGAGCACCACCAAGGCCACUGUCAACUUCGGGGAGACUGUCAAACCACCAAAGCCAUAUGGGGAACCACCUGGUUUGGCAGUUCACCAGAUAAUCACAAUCACUGUGUCUCUUAUUAUGGUUAUCGCAGCCUUGAUCACAACACUCGUCCUUAAAAACUGCUGUGCGCAGUCGGGAAAUGGCCGCCACAAUAGCCAUCAGCGCAAGAUCCACCAGCAGGAAGAAAGCUGCCAAAACUUGACAGACUUCACCCCAGCCCGGGUGCCCAGCAAGGUGGAUAUAUUCACUGCCUACAAUGACAGCCUGCAGUGCUCACAUGAGUGCGUUCGGACUGCCGUGCCCAUCUACACUGAUGAGAUGAUCCAGCAGACGCCUGUCUACAAGACUGCUUACAAUGGAAACAGGCCCUCCCCCACUGAAAGACAACUGAUCCCUGUGGCCUUUGUGUCAGAGAAAUGGUUUGAGAUCUCGUGUUGACGAGCUGAAGGCCUUGUUCACUUCCUGUGAGUAGAAGAGACUUCCUGAAUUCACGCUCUGGAUCCAGUUGGAAACAAGAAAACACACAAAAACAGCUUCUUUUGUAAAAUAGUGUGAUCACUCUUUGGACACUGGUGAAGAUAUUUAUUUUUCUAGAGAUGACAAGCAGAGCAGCCACGGCGCUGCCACUCCAUAUUUCCAGGAACGUACAGUCAUUUAGAUAUAGAAUAUAUAUAGGUAUAUUUACAGGAUGUGUGGGACAAGACUGUGGACGUCGAGGAUGUUCUCAAGAAAAACACUUGACAUUUGAUAAAGGAACCCACGGAGAUGUUGUGGGUGGAAGAUGAACUGUAUUUCUGAACAAUGUGCCAAUAAUGCCACUAUGUGCCACAACCUGGAUAGAAGGAAGUUUCAACAACAACUGAUGGACUAAACAAAGAGCGCUAUAUUAACCCUGUAUCGACUCCAAUUGCAUUGUUUUUUUGUUUUUGUUUUGUUUUUUAAAGAAAUGUGAAAGAUAAAAAAUGCUACAAUGUAUUUGAACAUGUUUUAAAAUAGUUUUAAGAAAAGUGUUACAAAGAGUCUAAAAGAUAUUUAUAUGAAGCACUAUUCUAGUCGGAGAAGAGAGAAGAACAAGAAAUGGUAUAUGCUUUAUUGAACAGUUGAUUUUAAAACAUCCUUUCUAUCGGUCCCAUUUUAAAAAAACAGAAUAGUUAUGUCUAUUUUUUUACACAGCCCUAACAGUGGAGGUCCGAAGCACUUGGGAUUCAGCACUGUUAAUUAAGUACUCCCGCCUGAGCUGAGAUUAUAACAAAGAAAACAAUCUGAAUACAGCCAGUGCAAGCCAAUCCAACGCCCGCUCCAACUGCUUAUUAUCUAAGAUUUGUACCCGAAUUGGCCAAAUGGAAAAACAAACUAAAGGUUUCUGUCGUGCAAUGAAUCCCUAAGCAGCAAGUUCAUGUAUAGAUUGAGCAAGUAUAGCCACAGGAGACUGCAUGGAGCUGGACAGGACAUUCAUACUGCCUCAGGUCUGUCUAGCUCUCUUGCACACUUAAUGUUGGUCUCAGUUUCAGCAGCUGUUUGAGGAAAAUUCUAAUGAUUGGUUAUGAUUUAUGCUAAAAUAGUGGACAUGAUUCAAUUUGAGCGUCAAAUUCAAAUAAGUAAAGUCAUAAUUUGUAUAAAUAGGUAAGAGAUUGAAAAUGAAUCCCUCCACAGACAGUAAAUGAAUAUCCCCACCCAACUCCCAGAUUGGCUCACUUUUCAUUAAUUAUAACCUGAAAUUGAGAAAGUCAAGAAGACCGUGAAACAAUCUGUUGAAGGUGGAACAAAAUUAUCCUCAGUUUUUCAACUAAGAAUGAAGACGAAGCCGUGGAUGAGGCGCUUCUAAGUGGUGUCCCUCGGGAUCGAAAUGAUCGCAUCAUGUGUUUUAAAUGCAAGAUGCAAGCAGGGAAGGCUUCCCUCAUCAAAUGUAUAAUAAGAAUUAGUCAGCUCUCUCCAGAGCCAGAUCCACUCAAUACUUGAUGACAAUAUUUUCAGAAUUUCAACUAUCAGAGACAGGAAGUUGGCAGUUGUGCACAGAUGGAUUGUUUUAAGUUGUGCCAAAGGAAGUGGAGAUUCGAUCCGGGCUUUAAUUUUGUUCUUUUAAAAACCUAAAACACUCUGUCACUGUAUUGUUGAAGUAAGGGGAUUAUGACAAGCCAAUCAGCCACUGCCACAUUGGUUUAAACUAUCUCUUCUGACAAGGUGAGGGAACCCGUGGUGAGGAAGGACAGUAUAGCUCUCCUGAGAGCUUUCUAGCACCAAUAAUUUUAUUAUCAACCUCAAACUCUGAAAGACAAAUUGUGCUACAAAGCUUUUGAGGAUGCCACCUAUGAAUCUACCUUUCAUUGUGCUGUGGGUUUGUACAAAGCACAAAUACAACUCUGUAAUUGUAAACAUUUUUGGCUGCAGACAGCAAUAUGUACAGAUUUAAAAGGUUGGUUUUAUUGCGUGUCGACAGUGGAUCUUAGGUGGUUUUUAGGUUUGUACUCACUUCCUUAAAGAAUUCAAAAAAACAGGUUGUCCCAGUGAGAUCAGUAUCUGUAAAUGUGAGCCAUUCAGGAGGUGCCGAAAGGGCCUGGGAUAAAACACUGUGGUGCAAAACUCCUGCUUUUGCCCAUUCACAACAUGAAAACCGCUCUCAUGAAUGACCCAUACCAAUUCAGCCUCACAUGUGUGUCAGGCUGCGGAGUUGCUUCUUUGACAUAACAUAUAUUUUUUUGAAUGAAGAGUGUUAUCUUAAUAGUCAGAUGGUUAUGAAAAACUGUAUAUUAUACACGUGUAAAUGUAUUUUCUAUAUAUUUGCUUCUAUUUGUGUACAGGUGUGUUCUAUUUUUCAAGACCUCUCCAGUUUUUGGAAAGGUUUCAGCUAGGUCGGGGAUAGUGUCUUUGUUUACAUGUGUAACUACAGUAUUUCUUUUAAAACACAAAACUAACCUUGUGCCAAGCUUCCUACCUGCACUUUCAAGCAGUACUUGUAUUAUAUCUUUAGCUAACCAGUAUAAUACUUCAGUAGACGCUGCAAUAGUUCAGAGUCUGGAGGGUGAUUUCCAGGUGGAACGUCUCAAAGUAGUACUCAGUGCUGAGUGGUUCAAAGACAUGUUGUGAUCAUAUCUUGGGUUCUGCUGUAUUCAUGGUUGGCUGGGAAACCAAUAACUCUCUCUUCUUCAACAUCAUUUAUACAUGAAUUCAAAUAUAGUGUUUCAUCAUAUGAAUAAAAAAACAACAGUGUAAAUCCAACAGUAGCGGCCAAGAAACCAACUCAACUUGAUCUAGACUGGUUUGCAUUCAUUUGUCACAAGUUCUCAUUUUGUAAUUGUAUGUACAUAGUAGCCUACGACGACCACCCCAGAAAAUGUACAAUUUGCCACAUACUUUACUGUAAUGAUUGCAAAACCUAACUAAUAUUAGCAUCUAUGAGUGUGAUAAACAACCUGGGAAUGACAUCUAAAGAAAGAAUUGGGAAAGAGUGUUAACUACUGUUUUGAUUCUAAAUUGACCCGGUUAAUAAAUGCCACACAGAGUUACACACAGGAAGCCAUUCACUUUUUUUCUUUUAUGAAAAUUAAGAAUAAUUCUGGUUUAUUUUAACUUGGGCCUUAUUUUUAGCCAUGCUAGCUGUUAGUCAGACAGUCCACCACUUUGGUGUAGACCGAUGGAUUGGAAAGUUGGUUGAGAUAUCCACGGUGCCCACAGCAUAAAUCCUAAUGACGAAUAGGUCACAAUAUGGUUAUCUUUGAAGUCUGUAGACUGUGGAUAACCUGAGGGUUUGUUUACAACCUGUCUGAUCUUUUGACUGUUCUCACCCUGUCUGACUUUUUUUAUCAAUGUCACUGAGUUCCAAGAUCUCAGUAUUGAACUUGGUUGAGUACAGUGUUAUUAUUACUGACAGCAAUGACAAAGCCAAAAAUAUGGAAAUGAGACUCAAGUUGCACUAAACCUGAAUUAUCCUUUAAGUGUACAUACUGAAGAUUGUUUGAGAGCUGUGGUGAAGUACAGUAUCAUAAAGUAGUUCCCCUGUUUUUUGAAUUGCUGCAAAGUAUUUCACCAAAAGAAGGUACUUGUGGUUGCAAAGUUUCUGUGCUACUAACACUGUCCCGGUUAAGUAUUAAAAUAUGACCCCUCUGAAAAUUGUUUAAAUGUUAUACCAAGCUAAUGAUGAUUGGGUGAGACUAAUCUCUCAUUCUUUGAAACCUACACAAUUAGAUUAUUGAAGUAAGCGAAACUUCGACAUUUUGAAUUUCUUUGUGUUUCAUACUGUAGGGAAAAGGGUUUAUAGGCUUUUAAUUCAAUUUGCAUUGAAAGGCUUGUUUGCAUUGUCAGCAUCCCUCAUUAAAACCACGCUGCCAGCUAAAAGCAAUUUGCCUUGUAUUCCUGAAGGACAUUAAGACAGAAAAAUGUAACUUGCAGCAUAUAUAUAUAUUAAAAAAGGCAAAGUUUUCCGUUUAUAUUUCAGGACAGCUGAUGAGUGUGGUGUAUCAUAGCUAAGAGGGAGGAAAAUGAUUCCACCUCGUUGGUCCGACUGGAUUCAGGAAAUAUCUGAGAGCAGUGCAGGGUUAGGCAAAGCCAGAGGGAACAGGGAGGAGGUCUUAAACAAACACCAAAGACUUAACAUACCUUUUUCACAAUGAAUGAAUAUGUUGCGGCUCCAGUGUCUCUACAAACCUCCCUUCAGCACAAACAAGCUAUCAAUCAAGCAAGUAUUCCUGUCAAGAUGAAGGAUGUCCCGCACACUCAUUUGCAGGGACUGUGAUUCCCGUUUGUAUGUCAGACAUACAGAGUGGAACUUAUUGACAUAUAUGCUGUUUGAAUUGAAUGUUGACUGAAAAUCCACAAAGCCAAGGUUUGUUUUUCCCAUAUCAUUGGCAGCACAAGAAGAGAGGAAUCAAUGUAUCAACUCUGUUUAAUCACAGCCUUUGGGUGUCUAAUUAGUAUGGAAACAUGUUUCACAGCUGGUGGUGAUUUAAAUUUUGAGAAAAAGUCAAUGGCAGGUCGCUCAAACAGCAAGGUGAGACUCAGUAGGGAGAA